rnacentral:rRNA from 1 species
CAUUACCAGAGUGCCCUAGGCUCUCCAACCCAUUGUGAACUUACCAAACGUUCCCUCGGCGGGCUCAGCGCGCGGUGGCCUCCGGGCCUCCGGGCGUCCGCCGGGGAAAACCAAACCCUGAUUUAAUCGUAUUUCUCUGAGGGGCGAAAGCCCGAAAACAAAAUGAAUCAAAACUUUCAACAACGGAUCUCUUGGCUCUGGCAUCGAUGAAGAACGCAGCGAAAUGCGAUAAGUAAUGUGAAUUGCAGAAUUCAGUGAAUCAUCGAAUCUUUGAACGCACAUUGCGCCCGCCGGCACUCCGGCGGGCAUGCCUGUCCGAGCGUCAUUUCAACCCUCAGGCCCACCCUUCCGGGGGAGCGGGCCUGGUUCUGGGGAUCGGCGGCCCUCGCGGCCCCCGUCCCUCAAAUUCAGUGGCGGUCGCGCCGCAGCCUCCCCUGCGUAGUAGCACAACCUCGCACCGGAGAGCGGAACGACCACGCCGUAAAACACCCAAUUUUUUAAGGUUGACCUCGGAUCAGGUAGGAAUACCCGCUGAACUUAAGCAUAUCAAUAG